AUGUUAGGGAAAUGGGGUCCUUGGGCUCUGGGGGGGGACCUCUGUCCUCCCCACAGGCUGCCUGUCUGCGGCCUCCCACCUGCACUCAGUGUCCUAUUUAUAGGGAGCCGCGGGCUGCCCCCACUCUCCCCAGACAGUCUCCAGUGGGGACAUUCCUGGGGCUUCUCAGAUGCCUCGCCACCCUCUCCCGCUCAGGGAUGCACGAGGAGGGAUUCCAAGCCCAGCACAACCUGGCUGUCCAGACCCUUGCCCUCAGUCCAUAAAAAUAGCCUGCUCUGGCUAUUCUGGGUUAUGGAAAACCACAGAGAGACAGACUGUUCUCAGGGAGACCAAGAGGGGAGCCCAGAGCCGCGACACCCGAGGGUGGACAGAGGCCCACAGGCAGAMCCCACUGCAGGGGGAUCCCCUGCAGAUAGGAGAGUCUACAAACUUCAAAUUAGCAGCCUGUGYGCAGGAGCAGCGGGAGUGAGGGCAGGCGAGUCCCGGGGCUGCCUCCUGUCCACCAUCUGGGCUGCUGGCCUGUCUGGCCCGAAGGUGACCAUCUUGGGAUUUUGUGGCAGCGUCGGAGAGCUGUCACCCACGCGCCCUGCUCAGGGUCCUGGCUCUUUCUUCCGCCACCUGAAGAAACUAUUUCAGGAUUUAAAAAGUUCCCCGACACCCAUCUUCUUAUUGAGGCCACAAGCUCCACGAGGUGUGAAUGCACUUGGGGUGGACGGAGAGGACAACACAACUUCUUCUGGUGGAGGCAGGUGGCCCGAGUGGACGUUCCAGCAAACCCAGGAUGCCUCUCUACRGGACUUCAGCGUGGAGGGUCAAGGCCUGGCCUCCGUCAGAUUCGGGAGGCCCUCGGAGAGCYGUGUGGCUAGAAAUACCGAGCGUUUCCCAUCUGGCGAGGAGUUUGGAUCUCCCAUCAGGUAAAUGAAUCCUACCUGUUGAAGAGAAGGAAGCUCUCGCUUCCUCCACCCACCUCAAGGAUCAGAGGAGCUCCGAGAGCUACAGGUCAACCGCGGCUCGGAAAGUUCUAGGCCCACCGGCUGAGGAGAAGCCCAUCUUGGGGAGGCCAGCCUGAGUUUGCCUCCAGCUGCUGCUUUCUACCCCUGCUUUCCAUUCGCUCUGAAACUCACCUUUAAAAAUGAGUCACAGUGGGGCGUGGUAGGGCAUGUUUGUAAUCCCAGGGGCUCAGGAGGCUGAGGCAGGAGGAUCGUGAGUUCAAAGCCAGCCUCAGCAAUUUAGCGAGGCCCUAAGCAACUCAGUGAGACCCKGUCUCUAAAGAAAAUAUUAAAAAGGGCUGGGGGUGUGGCUCGGCAGUGAAGCCCUUCUGGGUUCAAUCCCAGGUGCCAUACCCAAAACCAAAAAAUCACUUUAAAAAAUAAACCUAGCCACACUACUACUGUCA
rnacentral:lncRNA from 1 species